rnacentral:rRNA from 1 species
GAUGAACGCUAGCUACAGGCUUAACACAUGCAAGUCGAGGGGUAACGAGAGGAAAGCUUGCUUUCCUUGUCGACGACCGGCGCACGGGUGAGUAACGCGUAUCCAACCUGCCCCCAACUAGGGAAUAACCUUGCGAAAGUAAGACUAAUACCCUAUAAUUUCCUCAGAUGUCAUCUGACGAGGAAUAAAGCUUCAUCGGUUGUGGAUGGGGAUGCGUCUGAUUAGCUUGUUGGCGGGGUAACGGCCCACCAAGGCAACGAUCAGUAGGGGUUCUGAGAGGAAGGUCCCCCACAUUGGAACUGAGACACGGUCCAAACUCCUACGGGAGGCAGCAGUGAGGAAUAUUGGUCAAUGGGCGGAAGCCUGAACCAGCCAAGUAGCGUGCAGGAUGACGGCCCUAUGGGUUGUAAACUGCUUUUAUACAGGAAUAAAGUUAGCCACGUGUGGUUAUUUGUAGGUACUGUAUGAAUAAGGACCGGCUAAUUCCGUGCCAGCAGCCGCGGUAA